GGAUUUCCGGCGUGAGGGAUCAGUCUGACUUCUAGUCAGUACUUGGUCCUCUCAUGCCGUCCUUGAAUGGUGCAUCCUGGCAUUAAGUUGUCGGGGUGAGAGCCGUUCAUCGUUUACUGUGAGAAAAUUAGAGUGUUCAAAGCAGGCUUAUGCCGUUGAAUAUAUUAGCAUGGAAUAAUAAGAUAGGACUUUGGUACUAUUUUGUUGGUUUGAGAACCAAGGUAAUGAUCAAUAGGGACAGUUGGGGGUAUUCGUAUUCAGUUGUCAGAGGUGAAAUUCUUAGAUUUCCGGAAGACGAACUACUGCGAAAGCAUUUACCAAGGAUGUUUUCAUUAAUCAAGAACGAAAGUAUGGGGAUCGAAGAUGAUUAGAUACCAUCGUAGUCUAUACCAUAAACUAUGCCGACUCAGGAUGGGCGGGUGCAUUUUUGCC
rnacentral:rRNA from 1 species